rnacentral:rRNA from 1 species
GAAACAUCUAAGUACCUGAAGGAAGAGAAAGAAAUUCGAUUCCGUAAGUAGCGGCGAGCGAACGCGGAUUAGCCCAAACCAAUAAAGUUUUCUUUAUUGGGGUUGCGGACAUAUCAUAACGAAGAGGUAUCGUAAUUGAAGAGGUUUGGAAAGACCCACCACAGAAGGUAAUAGUCCUGUAUGUUAAACGAGAAGACUUUAGAUAUGAUCCAGAGUACCACGGGACACGUGAAACCCUGUGGGAAGCAGGAGGGACCACCCUCCAAGGCUAAAUACUACCUAGUGACCGAUAGCGUAUAGUACCGUGAGGGAAAGGUGAAAAGAACCCCGGGAGGGGAGUGAAAUAGAA